rnacentral:rRNA from 1 species
CGCCACAGCCAUAUCACCCUGCAGCCCAAGACCGGUUACUCACUAAAGCUAAGCAGGGCUGAGCCUGGUUUGUACCUGGAUGGGAGACCACUAGGGAACACUAGGUUGCUGUUGGAA